AAUAGAUACCCUGGUAGUCCAUGCCGUAAACGUUGGGCACUAGGUGUGGGGCUCAUUCCACGAGUUCCGUGCCGCAGCAAACGCAUUAAGUGCCCCGCCUGGGGAGUACGGCCGCAAGGCUAAAACUCAAAGGAAUUGACGGGGGCCCGCACAAGCGGCGGAGCAUGCGGAUUAAUUCGAUGCAACGCGAAGAACCUUACCAAGGCUUGACAUGCACGGGAAGCCACCAGAGAUGGUGGUCUCCUUGGACACUCGUGCACAGGUGGUGCAUGGUUGUCGUCAGCUCGUGUCGUGAGAUGUUGGGUUAAGUCCCGCAACGGGCGCAACCCUCGUCCCAUGUUGCCAGCGGGUUAUGCCGGGGACUCAUGGGAGACUGCCGGGGUCAACUCGGAGGAAGGUGGGGAUGACGUCAAAUCAUCAUGCCCCUUAUGUCUUGGGCUUCACGCAUGCUACAAUGGCCGGUACAAAGGGCUGCGAUGCCGUAAGGUGAGCGAAUCCCAAAAAGCCGGUCUCAGUUCGGAUUGGGGUC
rnacentral:rRNA from 1 species